UUAUUUUUAUCACCCUUGUCUUUUGCGCACUUGUUGUUUCCUGGGCGGGUUCGCCCGCCACCAGGACCACACCAUAAACCUUUUUUAUGCAGUUGCAAUCAGCGUCAGUAUAACAAAUGUAAAUCAUUUACAACUUUCAACAACGGAUCUCUUGGUUCUGGCAUCGAUGAAGAACGCAGCGAAAUGCGAUACGUAGUGUGAAUUGCAGAAUUCAGUGAAUCAUCGAAUCUUUGAACGCACAUUGCGCCCUUUGGUAUUCCAAAGGGCAUGCCUGUUCGAGCGUCAUUUGUACCUUCAAGCUUUGCUUGGUGUUGGGCGUCUUUUUGUCUUUGGCCUCGCCCAAAGACUCGCCUUAAAACGAUUGGCAGCCGGCCUACUGGUUUCGCAGCGCAGCACAUUUUUGCGCUUGCAAUCAGCAAAAAGGACGGCAAUCCAUCAAGACUACAUUUUUACGUUUGACCUCGGAUCAGGUAGGGAUACCCGC
rnacentral:rRNA from 1 species